CAGCCCCCUCACUUCUCUCUGCAGGUUACACCACCCCCAACCUGGACCCCAUCCAAUAGGCUCGUGGUCCCUGAUGGUCCUGGACCACUGAUUUGAGGCCUUUCUGCUUCCUUUGAUUCAGUCUUUGGCAGAGACCCAGGAGCAGGAGUCCUUGAUGGCACCUGGCCCUUUCUAGUCACCGACAAGGGAAACCUGAGAAACCAUUCUCAGAAAUGGAACUAAAUUGACACAGCAUUUGUCUCCUCCAGAGGAUACAGCACCAAGGCGCCAUCUUGGAAGUAGACUGGAGCUCUUAGCAGACCAGAACCUGUGGGUGUGUUGAUCUUGUACUUCCUGACCUCCAGAACUGGUUUCACACCUGAGCAGCAUCGAAGGGGCCACUGAAGUGGAGCAGAGGAAUCGUUUGAGGAGAAUCUCAAAG
rnacentral:lncRNA from 1 species